rnacentral:rRNA from 1 species
GCUGGCGGCAGGCCUAACACAUGCAAGUCGAGCGGCCGUAGCAAUACGGCAGCGGCAGACGGGAGAGUAACACGUGGGAACGCGCCCUUCGGUUCGGAAUAACUCAGGGAAACUUGGGCUAAUACCGGAUACGCCCUUACGGGGAAAGAUUUAUUGCCGAAGGAACGGCCCGCGUCCGAUUAGCUUGUUGGUGAGGUAACGGCUCACCAAGGCGACGAUCGGUAGCUGGUCUGAGAGGAUGACCAGCCUCACUGGGACUGAGACACGGCCCAGACUCCUACGGGAGGCAGCAGUGGGGAAUAUUGGACAAUGGGCGCAAGCCUGAUCCAGCCAUGCCGCGUGAGUGAUGAAGGCCCUAGGGUUGUAAAGCUCUUUCAGCGGGGAAGAUAAUGACGGUACCCGCAGAAGAAGCCCCGGCUAACUUCGUGCCAGCAGCCGCGGUAAUACGAAGGGGGCUAGCGUUGCUCGGAAUUACUGGGCGUAAAGCGCACGUAGGCGGAUUGUUAAGUCGGGGGUGAAAUCCUGGAGCUCAACUCCAGAACUGCCUUCGAUACUGGCGAUCUCGAGUUCGGGAGAGGUGAGUGGAACUGCGAGUGUAGAGGUGAAAUUCGUAGAUAUUCGCAAGAACACCAGUGGCGAAGGCGGCUCACUGGCC